UCGCGACCCAGAGGUUGAGAACUGCUGGAUAGAUGAUUCAGUACUUCUUUAUAAGACCUUAUGGGACUUGAAAACAAAUUUGGAAAACAUUCCAGAAUGUAGUAUCCUUAAAUACCACUUCUACUUCUGCCUCAGAUCUGCAGAAUGAGGAUAUUUAUUAAAGCUGGGACAGUGAAACAAGGAACGGCCUACGACAGAAGCAACAGGAGAGACACUAUGCAAGGAAGUGAGCGUAGGCUGGGCUGCUUGGCUCACUAAGGAGUCAGAGAAAAGGGGCCUUGGUGACAGGGGCAGGGGGUUAGCCUGGGGCCAGCUGCUGCUGCCCAUGCUUACUUUGUGAAGUUUCUUACAUAAAUGUCAUACUGUUUUUGCUU